AGUUGCAAUAAAAUAACUAUUAAAUUAUUGAAGGAUUAAUUAGCAAUUAGAUUGCUAAUGAACUCAAUUUGAUUGAGUAAUUGGGCUUAGGUUGAGCCAAAUUGAAUAGGAUUCAAUUUGGGCUGCAUCAGGGUUUGACCUAAUUGGAUUGGGUUCAACCCAAGUAGAUUGAGUUUGACCCAAUUGAUGGAACUUGAUUGAUAGUCAACUUUAAAGACCACGCAAUAGCACGUAUCUAGUAAGAUAGUGAUUACGGGUAUCGAUCUACAGGGAUUGGGGUAUAGUUGUUUUCUUAAAAAUAAAAAUAUUUAAAAGGAUGAAUUUGUGAAGACUAUUAAACUAAGCAAUUUAAUAAAAGAAAAUGCAAUUAAAGGGAUAUCAGUUUAAGGAAAUCUAGGGCAAGAAAUUCACCACUAACAUCGGAACAAGGAUUAUUUGUAUUUUAAUUCAUUCUUGGAUUAACAUGCAAAUUGGCUACAAGCCUAAUAAGCAUUUGAAUAAAAUCUCACAAAAGUAAUUUAGGCAUAAUCCAUCUUUAGUUAGCAUGAAAUGUCUACCCUAAUUUAAGGUGGCAACACAUCGCAUCUUCCUUAAGCAUGGACUAUCUUAUUUUUACUUCAAUGACCAUGAAGAACAGUUGUAUAAACUUCAUAUUUAAAAUCACAGAAAUUAAACAUGAAAUAAAAGAAGAUAUUCAUUAAAAAUAAUAAGUUCAUACAACUCCAAGAAUAUAAAAUUAAAAAUAUAAAACCCGUGUCCCUUUGUUAGGGCUGCAUCCAGCUCUAGAGAGAAGAUCAGCCUUCCAUGGAGUGGUAGAUGGN
rnacentral:lncRNA from 1 species